ensembl:snRNA U4 U4 spliceosomal RNA
AGCUUUGCACAGCGGCAGUAUUGUAGCCAAUGAGGUUUAUCCAAGGCAUGAUUAUUGCUUAUUGAAAACUUUUCCCAAUACCCCACCAUGACGACUUGAAAUAUAGUUGGCACUAGCAAUUUUUGACAGUCUCUAUGGAGA